CCUUAUUAGUAGGCAGCCUCAGCUUUACACGGAGAGAUGAUACGUAUAAGACCCGGGGUUAUCGAAAAAACAUCUUUUAGACUUUCGAAAAGUCCUCUUUCUAACUAUUGACACAGGUUUUAUAUGUUUGGCCUGGACUUUUUUUUUCGUGGGUCUUCAUAUUGCAACCCUGUGCACCCGAGUGUAAAAAGGUCAACUACUCCGUGGUCCAUUUUAAACCGUCAACCUUGCACGACCGUAAAAAGUAAUAUAUAGAUAUAUAGAUAUAUAUGUCCAGCUAUCGUGCAGUCAAAUGCUACACUCCCAAUAUAAAACCAAAAAUAAAAAAAGGUGGCCUGUGCGCAGACUUUCUUUUUUAUGAAGAUUUGGGACUGUAGAGCCAGGGCUGAUGUUUCCUGGAUCGCCAUCUGGGCUUGGCUGCACAAAGGCACCAUUGAGACCAAACGUUAAAGGCUGUGGUCACUACAUAGAGGGCAUUCCAAGGGAGUUCUCUAUCGUCCAAAUUUGGUUUUGCCCUAUGCCCUCUAAGCCAAUACGUGUCUUUCCAUAUUCUAUCCCCUGCGCUUUUUAGUAGCUUUCGAAAUCCAAUAUUAAUAAAUGAAACUGUUAAUGAAGUAUGUAGUAACACUUCUGUUAUUGCUUGAGUCAUAUUUGAUCCGAAACACAGCAGCGUUGUAAAGUUGUUGGGGCGAUUUGGAGAAAGCUGUUGAAUAUCAGUUUCAGAUCUUUAUGCUGCUAUGGUUACUCACUGAAUAGUCUCGGUGAAUAUAUGGUGUAAUUAUUACAGAGGGCUCAUUAAAUGACCUGCAGGGAGGGAACUUGCGGCAAGGUGUGUGUGUGUGUGUGUGUUAAUAUCAUGUAUUUUUAUUAAAAAUAUAUAUACAUAAUUAGAGUAUGUGUUAUGUGUUAGACUAUGGAAAGUAAUAGGAUGAUACUGACCCAAUAUUCUUACACAUAAUGAGUUCAGAUUAGCCUUAUAUGCCUAAAUAAUGUUAACCAUAUUAUUGGCCAGUAAUUUAAAAGGAUUAUUGUCUAUAGUUAGAAGACACAGGCGCACACACACACACACACACACACACACACACACACACACACACACACACACACACACACACACACACACACACACACACACACACACACACACACACACACACACACAGACUUGCUGAUACAGGCAAGGCAAAAAGCCAAAACAAACUCAGUGUAAAAUAACAUAGUGGCCCAUUGUUCUUCGAGUUGUCUCAUCUACAUGGAGGCCUAACAAUCAACAUCAAUUGCAUGUCUUUUACCUCCUGUAUUUUAAAUUUGGUUAUAGAACCUGAACAAUGUGUACAUCUGCAAAAAAUGACACACAAAACACACAAAUGUGGAAAAAUUUGAAUCAUAAAACCGUAACACUUUGCUGGCCGUACGGUUGCCCAUUGCGUCUCUGUUCAAUGUGUCAUUGUCCUUUCAAACCUGAAAGUACAGAGAAGGGCACUUUAAUCUGAGUUCUGGUCUCGGCAGAACUCAGAUUCGAUUUUAUAAACGAAGAUUUUGUGCGUCCAAUCGAGAGGAAGUAGUAGGCAAACCCCAGUCGAUGGCCCUCAACCCGCGUAUGGAUAAAGGCUGUGGGUCAUGAGCCUGUUUCUUGUAUUCUUUCAAACCUACAAUGAGACCCUGUAAAACUGUGUAGUUUCUGUGUUUGAAGCCCCGCCCACUUCAGAGUAGACAAAAGCAUGCCAGUGCCAUUACAGCAGACAGAGUACUGCAAUAUGAGCCCUUCUUGAAGUCUGAGGCUGGGGUCUCUGAGUUCGGCCCUCUUAUCACCUUGCACUUUAAUAGGCCAACCUCAGCGAGAGAGAGAAGAAAAAUAAGAAGAAAAGGAGAGAGGAUGUGAAAAAGCGAAAAAUAUAGAUGGAUGACCCGAACCCAUUCACCCCCCACACCCACUCACUCACAACCCCCCCCCCCCCCCCCCCACACACACACACACACACACACACACACACACACACACACACACACACACACACACACACACACACACACACACACACACACACACACACACACACACACACACACACACAAACAAACACA